UACGUAGGGUGCAAGCGUUAAUCGGAAUUACUGGGCGUAAAGCGUGCGCAGGCGGCUUUGCAAGACAGAUGUGAAAUCCCCAGGCUCAACCUGGGAACUGCAUCCGAUACUGGAUGGCUUGAAUCCGGGAGAGGGAUGCAGAAUUCCAGGUGUAGCGGUGAAAUGCGUAGAUAUCUGGAGGAAUACCGGUGGCGAAGGCGGCAUCCUGGACCGGCAUUGACGCUGAUGAGCGAAAGCUAGGGGAGCAAACGGG
rnacentral:rRNA from 1 species